rnacentral:rRNA from 1 species
AUUGAACGCUGGCGGCAGGCCUAACACAUGCAAGUCGAACGCGUGGCGGACGGGUGAGUCAUGCUUGGGAAUCUCGCUUAUGGAGGGGGAUAACUACGGGAAACUGUAGUUAAUACCGCGUACCAUACGAUGAGCCCUAGUGGGAUUAGGUAGUUGCUGAGGUAAAGGCUAACCAAGUCGCAGAUCUCUAGCUGGUCUGAGAGGGUGACCAGCCACACUGGGACUGAGACACGGCCCAGACUCCUACGGGAGGCAGCAGUGGGGAAUAUUGCGCAAUGGGUGAAACCUGACGGAGCCAUGCCGCGUGAGUGAAGAAGGCCUUCGGGUUGUAAAAUUCUGUCAGUAGCGAAGCGGUAACUACAGAGAAAGCACCGGCUAACUCCGUGCCAGCAGCCGCGGUAAUAC